rnacentral:lncRNA from 1 species
GAAACUAUGAAAGCUCUACAAUGAACACCAAAUUCUCGAAAUACCAACACUUAUGUUAAAAUAGCUAUAACCUAUAUUUCUGACCUGGGACAAACAUGAUUUUCUAACCGACAUAUAGUGUUAAGACCUCAGCCCCUAACAGAAAAUGGUUAUCAUUUUGAGACAUACAUUGUAAAUUACAAGAAAGAGAAAACAAAAGGGCCCCC